AAAAACAAGGUGGGUGAUAUUAUCGAUUUUUAUCUUUACAGGAUAUCACAUGUUCAUUACAAGAUUUGCAAAAGCAGAACCCUUUUAGAGCAGUGCGUUUUACUUGAAGUAACAACAACUAAUAUUCUUACAUUUAACUCCAGCAGACUGAAUGUCAUCUUAUGGCAAUAUGAACAUUCCCUCCUUUACACAUGGGAUGGACAGAGAAGAUGAAGAAGAGAUGGAUAUUUAUGCUAAUGCUGAUCCUAUAAACAGGACAGAAACGGAGAACUCCAAGAGACACCAAACAUCUCAACACACAGAAAUGGCUUGUGUGAAGAUCAGAAGCUCCAGAACAGCUGCAGUGUGUUUGGUGCUGCUGUGUGUUCUUCUGCUGACUGCAGUCAUAGUGCUGGGUGUCUACAUCCAUACAAAGAGCACCAACUACACAGAAGAGGGAGCUCAGCUACUAACCAAGAUCACCAACAUCACAGAAGAGAGAGACCAGCUACUAACCAAGAUAACCAAUAUCGCAGGAGAGAGAGACCAGCUACUAACCAAUAUCACCAACCUCACAGAAGAGAGAGACCAGCUACUAACUAAGAGCAUCCAAUUGACUAAAGAGAGAGAUGUAUUGAUUAAACAAAGAGAACAGUCUAAAUGUCUUUGUGAAAAGGUUGGAUGGACGAGGUAUAAAUCCAGUUAUUACUAUGUUUCUUCUGAAGUGAAGAGCUGGACUAAGAGCAGAAGAUACUACAGAUAGAGGAGCAGAUCUGAUCAUCAUAAACAACAAAGAGGAACAAGAUUUUGUUCAAAGAAUAUCUGAUGGUGCUCAAGUCUGGAUCGAUCUGACUGACAGUGAUGUGGAGGGCACAUGGAAAUGGGUUGAUGGCAACACAAUGACCUCUGGGUUCUGGGAUCCUCGAGAAUCCAAUGGAGAUAGAGAAGAAAACUGUGCUCUAAAUUAUUCACCAGGAUGGGCUGAUUACCCAUGUGAUGAUACUCAUUAUUGGAUCUGUAUGUGCACUGUAAAAUAAGUUAUGAACUGCAGGUUUAUGUAAUAAAAAUAUGGAGUCCUGGACAUGUCAUGCAGGAAAAAAAUAGUAGGCUAAAUCGUGAGCACGAUUUAUUAAUUUGUUCCCUUGAUUUACUAAAUCGUGCGCAUGUUUUAGUAAGUCGUGCGCACGAUUUAGUAAAUUGAGGUAACGAAUUAGUAAAUCGUGCGCACGAUUACAUUUUCUUUCUUGCAUGUUAUGUGUGGGGCUCUGUAUAAAAAUGAAAGAGAAAUAGAAAGCAAGGAACUAUUUAGAAAACAUGCUCAGAAUGAAGCAACUGCUGCCAGUAUUCUUUUUCUUUUGUAUUUGUAUUGUAUUUUUUAAAAUGAAAUCAGAUCAAUUAUUUUCCAUUGUUAUAUGAAACCACAUUAGAACUGUUUCAAAACUCUUACUUUUUCAAAUGCCUUUUUUAGAUUUUCAAAUGUCUUUCAUUCAUUUGACUCGUAAUCUGAAAAUAUAAAAUAUGAAAAAAAAAAAAAACAUUUAAAGCUAUGAUGAGUGAUAUUUUUUGUGUGAUAUAAAAUAAACCUUUUCAAUGUUUGUUUUAUGCAAAUAUUAUUUAUUUGUUUAUCAUUUUAAACUAAGUAGGACUAUUUUCAAAAAACUAAGAUUGAAUAUUAGAAAAAACACUUGCUUUAAACUAGCUACUCGAUAAAUUCUAUUUCACACUUCUCCAACAAACACCAACAAACUUCUAUGUAAUCACACCAGCGAACUUCAGCUGGUGUUUCUGUUUUCAGUGUACGGCUUUUAUGUUGUGUUUACCCACAUGCUCAUUCAUGCUAUAAAUUAAACGAUACCUUUACAAAAAUGCUAUUUAAAAAUGCUAAAUGUUUUUAGGAGGAGGGAAACAAAGGUGUAGAAUAAAGGUAAAAUAUAUUAAAAAUACAGCGUUUUUUUUUUUUUUUUAACAAAAGAUUAAGAUAUGUUAAACCCCAUAAACACACAAUCAUGCCUAGAAAAAAAACAGUGAACCACCCCUUUAAAUAUCCAUGCGAAAGUAGAUAUUUCAGUGUUUCCCAAACUUUUUCAGUCAUGGCACCCUUUAAAAAUUUUCAAGAAUUUGUGGCACCCCACACUAGUGUUGUCAUGAUACUACUUUGAUACGACACCUUGAAAAUGAUCAAUUUUCAAUACCACAGGGAAAAACCACCUACUGUCAUAUAGAUAUUUUUAAUAUUAUUUCAUUCUUUUUUUGUCCAUCCAUUGAAAGUCUAGGAAAUCAGUAUUUUUUUCUUCUGAAGAGAUCACUUUGAUGACAGGUUUUAAUUAAGGCUUUUAAUCAUAUAUAUAAAUAUUCCUUAAUUACCAUUACAACUGUCUCACUAGCCUGAAUGUUUGCUCACUCUGUGAAUUUGUGUUUUUAUAUUGGGAUAAUUUUGAUAGCUUGUUUUUAAUUUAAGUUAAUAUAUUUCUAACUCAAAAAAAUAUAUAUAUUUUUUUUUUCAUUUUAAACAUUA